UGAUGUUCUAGAUUGAGGGUCAUGCAGCUG
rnacentral:piRNA from 1 species